rnacentral:RNase_P_RNA from 1 species
UCAGUCGGCCGGACGGCCGCUCCGGCAACGGUCGAAAGGCCGCCGGGGAGGAAAGUCCGGGCUCCCUUGACAUACGGUGCCGGAUAACGUCCGGCGGGGGCAACCCCAGGGAAAGUGCCACAGAGAACGAACCGCCCGCCGUCGCCCCUUCGGGGCUAUGGCGAGGUAAGGGUGAAAAGGUGCGGUAAGAGCGCACCGCGGUUCCGGCAACGGAGCCGGCAUGGUAAACCCCACCGGGAGCAAAACCGAAUAGGGACGGCGAAUGCGGGCCGAUCGCGCAAGCGAUAACGCCGCGGGGCGAUGUCAGGCCCGCCGUCCGGGUAGGUUGCUCGAGGCCAUGUGCAAACAUGGCCCCAGAGGAAUGGCCGUCACGUAUCGUUCGCGCAAGCGGACGGUGCCCUACAGAACCCGGCUUACAGGCCGGCUGAUAUC